CGGACGGGUGAGUAAUGUCUGGGAAACUGCCUGAUGGAGGGGGAUAACUACUGGAAACGGUAGCUAAUACCGCAUAACGUCGCAAGACCAAAGAGGGGGACCUUAGGGCCUCUUGCCACCGGAUGUGCCCAGAUGGGAUUAGCUAGUAGGUGGGGUAACGGCUCACCUAGGCGACGAUCCCUAGCUGGUCUGAGAGGAUGACCAGCCACACUGGAACUGAGACACGGUCCAG
rnacentral:rRNA from 1 species